rnacentral:rRNA from 1 species
GAUGAACGCUAGCUACAGGCUUAACACAUGCAAGUCGAGGGGCAGCAUGGUCUUAGCUUGCUAAGGCCGAUGGCGACCGGCGCACGGGUGAGUAACACGUAUCCAACCUGCCGUCUACUCUUGGACAGCCUUCUGAAAGGAAGAUUAAUACAAGAUGGCAUCAUGAGUCCGCAUGUUCACAUGAUUAAAGGUAUUCCGGUAGACGAUGGGGAUGCGUUCCAUUAGAUAGUAGGCGGGGUAACGGCCCACCUAGUCUUCGAUGGAUAGGGGUUCUGAGAGGAAGGUCCCCCACAUUGGAACUGAGACACGGUCCAAACUCCUACGGGAGGCAGCAGUGAGGAAUAUUGGUCAAUGGGCGCAGGCCUGAACCAGCCAAGUAGCGUGAAGGAUGACUGCCCUAUGGGUUGUAAACUUCUUUUAUAAAGGAAUAAAGUCGGGUAUGGAUACCCGUUUGCAUGUACUUUAUGAAUAAGGAUCGGCUAACUCCGUGCCAGCAGCCGCGGUAAUACGGAGGAUCCGAGCGUUAUCCGGAUUUAUUGGGUUUAAAGGGAGCGUAGAUGGAUGUUUAAGUCAGUUGUGAAAGUUUGCGGCUCAACCGUAAAAUUGCAGUUGAUACUGGAUAUCUUGAGUGCAGUUGAGGCAGGCGGAAUUCGUGGUGUAGCGGUGAAAUGCUUAGAUAUCACGAAGAACUCCGAUUGCGAAGGCAGCCUGCUAAGCUGCAACUGACAUUGAGGCUCGAAAGUGUGGGUAUCAAACAGGAUUAGAUACCCUGGUAGUCCACACGGUAAACGAUGAAUACUCGCUGUUUGCGAUAUACGGCAAGCGGCCAAGCGAAAGCGUUAAGUAUUCCACCUGGGGAGUACGCCGGCAACGGUGAAACUCAAAGGAAUUGACGGGGGCCCGCACAAGCGGAGGAACAUGUGGUUUAAUUCGAUGAUACGCGAGGAACCUUACCCGGGCUUAAAUUGCAGAUGAAUUACGGUGAAAGCCGUAAGCCGCAAGGCAUCUGUGAAGGUGCUGCAUGGUUGUCGUCAGCUCGUGCCGUGAGGUGUCGGCUUAAGCGCCAUAACGAGCGCAACCCUUGUUGUCAGUUACUAACAGGUUCCGCUGAGGACUCUGACAAGACUGCCAUCGUAAGAUGUGAGGAAGGUGGGGAUGACGUCAAAUCAGCACGGCCCUUACGUCCGGGGCUACACACGUGUUACAAUGGGGGGUACAGAGGGCCGCUACCACGCGAGUGGAUGCCAAUCCCAAAAACCUCUCUCAGUUCGGACUGGAGUCUGCAACCCGACUCCACGAAGCUGGAUUCGCUAGUAAUCGCGCAUCAGCCACGGCGCGGUGAAUACGUUCCCGGGCCUUGUACACACCGCCCGUCAAGCCAUGGGAGCCGGGGGUACCUGAAGUGCGUAACCGCGAGGAGCGCCCUAGGGUAAAACUGGUGACUGGGGC